rnacentral:rRNA from 1 species
CCUACGGGAGGCUGCAGUGAGGAAUAUUGGUCAAUGGGCGGGAGCCUGAACCAGCCAAGUCGCGUGAGGGAAGACGGUCCUAUGGAUUGUACACCUCUUUAGGCGGGGAGCAAUGCCGGGCACGCGUGCCCGGAGGGAGAGUACCCGCAGAAUAAGCAUCGGCUAACUCCGUGCCAGCAGCCGCGGUAAUACGGAGGAUGCGAGCGUUAUCCGGAGUUAUUGGGUUUAAAGGGUGCGUAGGCGGAUUUUUAAGUCAGCGGUAAAAUGUCCGGGCUCAACCCGGGCCGGCCGUUGAAACUGGGGAUCUUGAGUGGGCGAGAAGUAUGCGGAAUGCGUGGUGUAGCGGUGAAAUGCAUAGAUAUCACGCAGAACUCCGAUUGCGAAGGCAGCAUACCGGCGCCCGACUGACGCUGAGGCACGAAAGCGUGGGGAUCGAACAGGAUUAGAUACCCCAGUAGUC